AUAUUUACCUGGCAGGGAAGAUAACAUAAUCACAAAGGUGGCUUUCCCAGGGCAAGGCUUAUCCAUUGCACUCCAGAUGUGCUGACGCCUGUGAUUUUCCCAAAUUGGGAAACUCAACUGCAUAAUUUGUGGUAGUGGGGGACUGCAUUCGCACUUUCUCCUA
ensembl:snRNA U1 U1 spliceosomal RNA